CAAACAAAAAAAAAAGCCUAGCUUUUCGCCGCUCCUCCUCUCGCGAACACGCACGGAAAGGAAACCCUUUUCGUCGCUCCUCCUCUCGCGAACACGGACGGAAGCCCUUUUCGCCGCUCCUCCUCUCGCGAACGGUAGGAAAACCCUAGCCUUUUGCCGCUCCUCCUCUCGUGAACACGCACGAGCUUUUCCCUCUCGCUGCGACCUAGCGGCGAUUCUCCGCGAUGAUCCUCCCUCUCGCGCACACGAAGCUCAGGCCUUCACAGUGGGGCAGCCAAGCUUGUCCAACCUUUCCAUGUCUGGUUCAAUCCUAUUGCAGCAGCAAGUACGCCAAUUGUUCCACCAGUCCAUUCAUUUCCAAGUCAUGGACAUCCUACUGAAGUAGGAUAUAUGAUGCAUAAAUUAGACCUCAAGGAAGAACUUUUGCCCGAUACAUUUCUUCCUCUGCCAAAUUCUAUGUCAGUUUAUCAUCAGAUGAUGAGCAAGCCUACCUGUGUUGUAGAAUGCAGAAGCAAAGAUGGCUAUUCCUUCAGUCAAGUUUAAUUUCACUUGUGGCAAAAUAAAUGUUUGAAUUUAAUUUUUGCAGUUUUUGCUAAUGAUAAUAUAUAUACACUGAGCAUAAAUAAAUUUUAUUCUUUUGUUUAGUUGAUAAUUUUCCUUUGCCUUGGUGAAUAUGUAACCAAAACAUGAUGCAUCGGUAGAGAGAUUGCUAGUUUGGCGUAUUGGAUUGCAAUAGAUUUGUGUUUGGUUGAGGCAAAUGGCCAUCCCAUAUGAUUUAUUCUCCCUAGAUCCGUCUGCACAGGGAUGAUCUCCUCUUUCUAUAUACAUAUACAUAGCUCGUUAUUAUUUUCAUGUAUUUUAUGUUGUAUAAUUGACAUAUAUUUCAUGUGGUUUGUGUUGUAUGAUAAUAUUUGCCAUUGCAUUGCAGCAAAAUUUGGCUCCUUGUCGAUCUAAAUACUGCAUUCAUAACAAAACAACAAAAGCUUGGCAUGGCUGCUCACUUAUUCCAACAUCAAAUCAGUUUGUUACAGACUUAAACAUGUACAAUAAGCUUCCACAAGUAAGAUAUCAAUUGCAAGAAAAAAAACAGUCAAGGGCACAACACUUGCAAUCUAUAAUUGAGAUUGAUGACAGUCUUUCCAUCAUCAAGUAGCUUAAGGUCAAGUGAGUUUAGCUUCACUCUUAUGAAAAUAGAAACUCUAGAAUGAUUCCACAAACAAGGAAGAAAAAAGAUACAGAGUCUGAUUGAGAUUGCAAGAUCUCGUAUUGUCCUCUAACUGAGAUACAGGUGUGUUCUUCUUGGUGUGAGCUGUGGUACGAACAUUGCUGAUUUUGUUGCUCGAAAAGCAGUCGAGGAGGGAAAGCUGAUUGAACCGGUUAAGGUUGUCGCCCAGGUGUUGAUGUGUCUCUUCUUCGCAGGAACUGUUCCCACCCAUUCUGAACUAAAGCUAACUGGUUGAAUUCUUUCAUGCUCUUUUCUUUUCUAUCCCGGAACAUGCAGUGUAGGAACCAUUUCAUCAUGAUGUUGUUCCUCUUAGUUCUCAUUCUUUUAUUCCUUCACAUACUCUCUUUAAUGUACAAUCCUGUAAACUAUACAUCAAUAAUAUAGAAUAAAUGUCUCUCAAUCUUUUUUU